ensembl:lncRNA
UUAGGGUUUAAACGAUCCCUACCAAUGUGUACAUUUGUGGUUUAAGUGAAUCUUUGUUUCUGAAAUUACUUCUGUGGUAAAUAUCAGUUUGUGUAACUAAUCUAUCAGAAAAUACUAGACCUGGUGACUGAAUGUGGUAGAUGUAUUAGAAUUUUGGACAUGUUAUGCAUGUGUAGCUCCCUAUGUGUAUGAUCUAUGUGUAAUCCUUCUGUCAAGAAAUGAGCAGACUGAGGUUUGUGAAAUAAUUGAACUGUUUAUUGGCUACGUUGUUGAGAAAAACACUGUGAUGUGUAAAACAUUUCUACAGUCCUUCAAGGCUGUAUGAUGUCGUUGUUCUCUUUUACUGAAAGAAAGGUCAAAACCAUCGGUGUUAUUCGUUGUGAAGACUGAAGUGACA